GUAGUCAUAUGCUUGUCUCAAAGAUUAAGCCAUGCAUGUCUAAGUAUAAAUAAAUUUAUAUUGUGAAACUGCGAAUGGCUCAUUAAAUCAGUUAUGAUCUACGUGACAUAUUCUUUACUACUUGGAUAACCGUGGUAAUUCUAGAGCUAAUACAUGCUAAAAAUCCCGACUUCGGAAGGGAUGUAUUUAUUAGAUUAAAAACCAAUGCCCUCCGGGGCUCACUGGUGAUUCAUGAUAACUUCUCGAGUCGCAUGGCCUUACGCCGGCGAUGGUUCAUUCAAAUUUCUUCCCUAUCAACUUUCGAUGUUUGGGUAUUGGCCAAACAUGGUUGCAACGGGUAACGGGGAAU
rnacentral:rRNA from 1 species